GUGAUUCAGAAGAGAGAGCAGACUUCCAUGAACGAUAUAUCAUCGAAGAGAUAUGUGAAAAACACCUUGAGGAAUGAUUCUAAACAACGUUUGCCAUGUUUCAGUCGAUAUUAUGGAGUUAAUUUGGAAAAAAGUUCGGCGUUUUGAUGACUGAAUUUUCGUUUUUUUUGGGUAGCCAACGUGAUGAACAAAACGGAGCGAUUUCUCAUACACAAAGAAUCUUUUUGGAAAAACUGAACAUUUGCUAUCUAACUGAGUCUCCUCAUUGAAAACAACCGAAGUUCUUCAAAGGACCUGAGCCCUAGGACCAUGCCUCAGGACCACCUGGCAUGAUGACUCCUUGCUGUCCCCAGUCCACCUGGCCGUGCUGCUGCUCCAGUUUCAACUGUUCUGCCUGUGAUUAUUAUUAUUUGACCAUGCUGGUCAUUUAUGAACAUUUGAACAUCUUGGCCAUGUUCUGUUAUAAUCUCCACCCAGCACAGCCAGAAGAGGACUGGCUACCCCACAUAGCCUGGUUCCUCUCUAGGUUUCUUCCUAGGUUUUGGCCUUUCUAGGGAGUUUUUCC
ensembl:lncRNA